CGCAGCUCCUGUCGCAGUUCCAGC
rnacentral:siRNA from 1 species